GACGUUGGCUUCCGUGUGGAUCGCGAUGGCCGGGACCUCGGUUCCGUGUCACGCGUCCGCUGCGGUAUGUCCGACAUCGUCGGCGUGCACUUCUCCUCUAGUAGGACGUCGCGACCCGUUGGGUGCCGGCCUACGGCCCGGUUGGUCGACUGUCGCGUCGCGUUUACGCGUGCACGCGGCAGACCACCGGUUGCCCGGCCGGCUGCCCGGCGGUAUAGAUCGCUAUAAAACGGUAUUGGGCCGCAUUAAGUGCGUUCUGGCUCGUCGGCAGGCUCGUCUCGCUCGGAUUUACGGACCUAGUGCCGUUGCCGGGCGCUUGGCGUGGCCGUUAGUCAACGAUGUCCUCGGACUGGCUCUUACAUUCGAACGGAUUUACCGGUCGGCGACGCUACUGCUUUGGGUACUUUCAGGACCCGUCUUGAAACACGGACCAAGGAGUCUAACAUGUGCGCGAGUCAUUGGGACUUGUUAAGCCUAAAGGCGCAAUGAAAGUGAAGGUCGGCCCUAGCGUCGACCGAGGGAGGAUGGCUCGCGUUACGAUGCGAGCCCGCACUCCCGGGGCGUCUCGUGCUCAUUGCGAGCAGAGGCGCACCCAGAGCGUACACGUUGGGACCCGAAAGAUGGUGAACUAUGCCUGGUCAGGACGAAGUCAGGGGAAACCCUGAUGGAGGUCCGUAGCGAUUCUGACGUGCAAAUCGAUCGUCGGAACUGGGU
rnacentral:rRNA from 1 species